AACGUAGGAGACAAACGUUAUCCGGAGUUACUGGGCGUAAAGGACGUGUAGGUGGUUUCGUAAGUCUGGCGUGAAAUUUUUCGGCUUAACCGGGAAAGGUCGUCGGAUACUGCGGAACUAGAGGACGGUAGAGGCGUGUGGAAUUCCGGGUGUAGUGGUGAAAUGCGUAGAGAUCCGGAGGAACACCAGUGGCGAAGGCGACACGCUGGGCCGUACCUGACACUGAUGCGCGAAAGCAUGGGGAGCAAACAGG
rnacentral:rRNA from 1 species